GAAAUGCGAUAAGUAAUGUGAAUUGCAGAAUUCAGUGAAUCAUCGAAUCUUUGAACGCACAUUGCGCCCGCCAGUAUUCUGGCGGGCAUGCCUGUCCGAGCGUCAUUUCAACCAUCAAGCCCCUGGGCUUGUGUUGGGGACCUGCGGCUGCCCGCAGGCCCUGAAAACCAGUGGCGGGCUCGCUGUCACACCGAGCGUAGUAGCAAUCACCUCGCUCAGGGCGUGCUGCGGGUUCCGGCCGUUAAACAGCCUUACAAAACCCAAGGUUGACCUCGGAUCAGGUAGGAAGACCCGCUGAACUUAAGC
rnacentral:misc_RNA from 1 species